AAGGCAGCCAUGGUAUUGACAGAAAAAGACUCUGGAUUUGGAUUGCAGCUGUAGCAUUUAUUAAAUGCACGUCACAACCUCUCUGAGCUUCGUUUUCCCCACGUUUCAAAUGGGAUGCAGUGGACCCUGUUGCCUACCGGAGCACAACUUCAAAGCAACUUUGAGAGCCUUGUAUGGAAGAUGGCAAGUUUGAGAGCCUUGUGUUCAAGAUGGCAAAGCCACAAGAUGGAAAGCGCUUGGGUUCUUGGAUCAUUGUAUGGAGGGGCUCUGCCCAACUAGGAUCACCCAGGCUGGAUUGUCAUCAAAGAAUUGGGUCCUGAAAGUAGCAUACUCAAUGGGGACUGUGAGCAUGCAUCACUUAAUCAGUACAUGGGCACUGCACUCCUUCCUGGGCCAGAUUGUAUGUAGGUCAGCACCUCCAGUGGCUGAACCUCCAGAAGGGCUAUCACAAAGGUCUGAGAAUCUGUCUCCCUUAAGGCAGCGAGAAGUGGUCACAGACACGGCUUGGCUGCUAGCAUGGCAGAAGGUCUAGUGGGGGCAGCUGGGACUCCACCAGCCCAGAGUGAAGAUGAGAAUACCUAUUUUAAAGUUCUGUUGUGAGGUUCAAGUGCCACAUAUGGGGCCACCAGAAGCUGUUGGCGCCCCUCCCACAUCCCUGUGGUCCACUCAGGAGGUUAACUGCAGUCAGCUGUCAUUCUACUGGUGGCUUCCUGCAUCUUUCUGCCUGAGCUUGUUCUUUGGCCCUGGAGGAACCCUCCACCAAUGAGAGAUGGGAAUUGUUGAAUAAAAGUCCCAGCUUCCACUCCAAGGCAUGUUCAUGAUCCAUACAGCCUCUGAGAGGCCUCCCAUGGGCCUGAACCCCAGUUGACCACGCUGGUAAUACACACAUCUGCUCACUCUCCACUGGCUUUCCUCUCUCCCUUUCUCACUGCUUCACCUUCUCAUGGUGCCUCCUGGACCACUUCCCAAAUAAAUGAUUGCACUCAAAUCCUCAUCUUGGGGUCUGCUAAGGGGAAAUCCAAGUCCAGACAUUGGUAUGACUCAAGUGCUUAAUAGACCAUGUCACUAUUGUAGUUUCUAGAUACCCAAAAUUCAAAUGUGGGUCUCUCUGCCUACAUUUUGUAUUUUCUAUGUAAAAAAUUCCCUAAAGCCCUCCAGGAAGGACUCCUCUCCCUGUGGCUCCAUGCCAGCCCUAUGCUCUGCAGCCAUAGGGAGGAUUGCUGUGCCAAUGCUCACAAACCUUGGGGCUGCCAUCCCCAAGACUCCUUGGACUCCAUACAAAGAUUGACCUUAGGAGGAGUGAGUCACAACAACUCCAUGUGAGUAUUGGGAGGCUUUAUAGGUUGAAUUAUGACUUUCCAAAGAGAUUUGUCUUAAACCACAAUUCCUUAAAAUGUGAUCUUAUUAGGCAACAGGGUCUUUGCAAAUGAAAGUUAAGAUGAAGUCAUUAGUGUGGUCCCCAAUUCAAUAUGACUGGUGUCCUUAUUAAAAGUGGAGAUUUGGACACAGAAAGACACAAACAAGGAGAACACCAUGUGAAGAUUGGGAUCAUGUGACCAAAAGCCAAGGAACUACCAGAAGGUAAGAGAGAAGACCGGGAACAAAUCCUUUCCUAGUGCCUGCAGAGGGAGUGUGACCUAGUUGACACCUUGACUUUGGACUUCUAGCCUCCGAAAUUGUGAGACAAUAAAUACCUGUUGUUUAAGCCACCCAGCUUGUGGCACUUUGUUACAUCAGCCCUACCAGACUAAUAAAGGGGAAUUGUCUUU